UAGGGAAUCUUCGGCAAUGGACGAAAGUCUGACCGAGCAACGCCGCGUGAGUGAAGAAGGUUUUCGGAUCGUAAAACUCUGUUGUUAGAGAAGAACAAGGACGUUAGUAACUGAACGUCCCCUGACGGUAUCUAACCAGAAAGCCACGGCUAACUACGUGCCAGCAGCCGCGGUAAUACGUAGGUGGCAAGCGUUGUCCGGAUUUAUUGGGCGUAAAGCGAGCGCAGGCGGUUUCUUAAGUCUGAUGUGAAAGCCCCCGGCUCAACCGGGGAGGGUCAUUGGAAACUGGGAGACUUGAGUGCAGAAGAGGAGAGUGGAAUUCCAUGUGUAGCGGUGAAAUGCGUAGAUAUAUGGAUGAACACCAGUGGCGAAGGCGGCCCCCUGGACAAAUACUGACGCUCAGGUGCGAAAGCGUGGGGAGCAAACAGG
rnacentral:rRNA from 1 species